UGGGGUGUGGCUCAGUGGUAGAGCGCUUGCCUAGCACUGCAAGGCACUGGGUUCAAUCCUCAGCACCACAU
rfam:Ictidomys tridecemlineatus contig087190, whole genome shotgun sequence.